UGGGUGAUCUGCCCUGCACUUUGGGAUAAGCCUGGGAAACUGGGUCUAAUACCGAAUACACCUCCUUUCGCAUGAUCGGAGGUGGAAAGCUCCGGCGGAGAAGGAUGAGCUCGCAGCCUAUCAGCUAGUUGGUGUGGGUAAUGGCCUACCAAGGCGACGACGGGUAGCCGGCCUGAGAGGGUGACCGGCCACACUGGGACUGAGACACCGGCCCAGACCUCCGUACGGGGA
rnacentral:rRNA from 1 species